GAAUAGCUCAGUUUGGUUAGAGCGAAGGAUUGAAAAUCCUUAUGUCGUUGGUUCAAACCCAAUUUUAGG
rnacentral:tRNA from 1 species